rnacentral:rRNA from 1 species
CAUCAUUUAAAGAAAGCGUAAUAGCUCACUGGUCGAGUCGGCCUGCGCGGAAGAUGUAACGGGGCUAAACCAUGCACCGAAGCUGCGGCAGCGACGCUUAUGCGUUGUUGGGUAGGGGAGCGUUCUGUAAGCCGUUGAAGGUGUGCUGUGAGGCAUGCUGGAGGUAUCAGAAGUGCGAAUGCUGACAUAAGUAACGAUAAAGCGGGUGAAAAGCCCGCUCGCCGGAAGACC